CAAUAAAAAUGUUUUUGACUGCCAUGUCACUACCGUUUUUGUAGACCGAAGAGAAAAUGGGCUUUCGUUUGAUUUUAAAAGUAGUUAAUCAUGACCCGUGUGAAGCCUACCUCUCCAAACCUAAUCUUCUUCGACGUAGAGUCUGGCGUUUCCAUUCCCUGCAAUCUCCGUUUCUUCUCUGUAUUUAUCACAACCAGUCUAGAUCAUUAAGUUCUGUUCUUCAAUCCUUUUAUAGUGGUAAAACGAAACCAAACAUCUGUAGCAACAAUGUUCUCACCAAAGUGGAGAUGAUAAAGCAACUAGUGAGAUUACCAAAGAUUGGAAUGGCAUUGACCAAGUCCUUCUCUGAAACCCUCACAGCGCUUCUGCAAAGGUUUCAACUUUCUUCUUCUUCUUACCUCUCUCUCUCAGAUUAGAGCCUUUCGUUAAUGUGUUGUGGGUUUUUAUUUUGCAGAUUAGCUUACAUGGAGGACAAGUGAUUUCGUGGAGGAAUUACCAGGGCUAGGAGCUUCUUUUCACUAGCAACAAGGUAUGUUAAUUGUAUAGACCAUAACCCCAUCAAAGAAGGAAGAAUAAUAAAGAUCUGAUUUUUUAACAAAAUGUGAAAUUGUGUAGGUUAUCUUCAAAAACCCAAAAUCAAUGCGUAGAGGGAUACAGAUUUGUUAUCUUCAAGUAACUUUAUCCUCAGAUUUCUCAUUGUUUGAUUUGAACAUUGUAAUUGAGUUGUUUGUUGUGUGUGUGUGUGUGUGUUUGAAGUUUGGAGAUUGUGGAUCACUGGAUCAACAUGGGUUUGCAAGGAACAAAAUCUGGCUCAUCGAUGAGAACCCACCUCCCCUUGCCUCAAACGAGUCCUUUGGAAAAUCAUUUGUUGAUCUUCUUCUCAAAUCAUCAGAAGAGGACUUAAAGCAAUGGCCUCACAGUUUUAAGUUCCAUCUUAGGGUUUCACUUGCCAUAGAUGGCGACUUAACAUUGGUUUCUCGGGUUAGAAACAUCAAUGGCAAGCCCUUUAGCUUCUCAUUCGUGUUAUGCAGUCUCUUUACGCAAUAGCUUGCUCAGAGUAGAGACUUCUGUCAUGAUAAUAUUCUUUUGCCAAGCCUAGAGUCUCAGACACACAAUUUCCGUAGAGUGAUGGAUUUUUUUAACCCAAGGUGAUCCAGUGAGCAAAAGAGAGAGAAUAACCACACGCUCUUUGUUUAAAACUUGGGUUGACCACAUUGUGAAGAGUCUCCACUUUUUUAAAACCGAGAAGUCUCAACUUUGAUUGAUAAUUUUCCAUACUUAAAUGAUAGAAAAGAAUGUGCCACUGAGACAUAAGAUAUUUCUGCAGAUUUUGUUUUUGUUUUUUUGAACAUCAGUCUGCAGAUUUUCUUGAUUGCAUAAAAAUUAUUUUCUGGUA